rnacentral:lncRNA from 1 species
CUUCUCGCAUCGUGACAGUCCCACCAGCUGUUCCUCCAUCCAGUGGCCUUCCUCACUCACCCUCUGUAUGGGCUGUCUUCACUGAUGCAUGCUCGGUAGGAGGAUGCCAAGUCUAUUUCUAAAAACAUGCUAUAAAAUACAUCGUGGCCUUCUUCUUCAAAUCAACAUGGAGCUUCCUCAAGAACCUGCCCUAAAAUCAGUUGCAGCCAUGCCGACGACCAACCAAGGCUGGCCAGAGGCGUUUGGCUUCUCUCUGGGUGGCAGCGGGCCCUGCUACGUGCUGUGGGUGCAGGAGGGCAGCAGUGCAGCAGCGGCAGGGCUGCGACCGGGCGACGAGGUGCUGGAGC